UACAGAGGUCUCAAGCGUUGUUCGGAUUCAUUGGGCGUAAAGGGUGCGUAGGCGGCGCGGUAAGUCGGGUGUGAAAUCUUGGAGCUUAACUCCGAAACUGCAUUCGAUACUGCCGUGCUUGAGGACUGGAGAGGAGACUGGAAUUUACGGUGUAGCGGUGAAAUGCGUAGAUAUCGUAAGGAAGACCAGUGGCGAAGGCGGGUCUCUGGACAGUU
rnacentral:rRNA from 1 species